rnacentral:rRNA from 1 species
GACGAACCGUCCUAACGUUGUUCGGAAUCACUGGGCUUAAAGGGCGCGUAGGCGGGUUCCCAAGUCGGUGGUGAAAUCUUUCGGCCCAACCGGAAAACAGCCGCCGAUACUGGGAGUCUUGAGGGAGGUAGGGGUCGAUGGAACUUCCGGUGGAGCGGUGAAAUGCGUAGAUAUCGGAAGGAACGCCGGUGGCGAAAGCGGCGCGCUGGACCUCUACUGACGCUGAGGCGCGAAAGCCAGGGGAGCAAACGGG